CUCAUUCUAUGUAGAGGCAAAUUCUUUUUCAGCAGUAAAUUUCCAUUGAAAACUGUCGGCAACAUAAUAAAACACGGCUUUGCUUUUAUAAUCACACCUCAGAUUUUAUCUAUGCACAACAUUGGAGCAUAGAACUUGUGCCAAAAUAGCCAUUGUAAACCAUACUUGGAGCAUAAAUAUUAAUGGAAUCGUUGUUCAAGUACCAAAAAUGUAUUUUUGGGGGGAAGUUUUCAUAUGCCGCAUGCAUAGGAAACGAAAAUAAAACCACGAAAUUAUGAAGCCAAAACAAGUAACAAAAAAAAAAAGUAUAGGAAAGGAGACAG